GCAAUGCACGCAAGUGUGACGGGGCUACCCCGAGUGCCGUCCGCUGAGGAUGGCUUUUCCUUGGUGUAACUAGCCGGGGGAAUAAGGAGAGGGCAAGACUGGUGUCAGCCGCCGCGGUAAUACCAGCUCUCCGAGUGGUAGGGAUGAUUAUUGGGCUUAAAGCGUCCGUAGCCGGCUUAGCAAGUCUCCUGUUAAAUUCAGCGACCUAAUCGUUGAGCCGCGGGAGAUACUACUAGGCUAGGAGGCGGGAGAGGUCAACGGUACUUCCGGGGUAGGGGUGAAAUCCUAUAAUCCCGGGAGGACCACCAGUGGCGAAGGCUGUUGACUAGAACGCGCUCGACGGUGAGGGACGAAAGCUGGGGGAGCGAACCGGAUUAGAUACCCGGGUAGUCCCAGCUGUAAACGAUGCGGGCUAGGUGUUGGGGUGGCUACGUGCCACUUCAGUGCCGCAGGGAAGCCAUUAAGCCCGCCGCCUGGGGAGUACGGCCGCAAGGCUGAAACUUAA
rnacentral:rRNA from 1 species